UCAAACUUGAUUCCUCUGAUACAACAGAGACUGAUGAUAAUAUUUUUGAGGAGAUAGAGAAAGUUGUUAAAAUUCCAGAAAAUCACAAUUUUGAUUGGCAGUGGAUUAUCCUAGAUGGCCCAGUGGACACCUUUUGGGUAGAAAAUCUGAACUCUGUGCUAGAUGAUACUAGAACUUUGUGCCUAGCAAACAGUGAGAGAAUAGCUUUAACUAAUAAAAUAAGAGUGAUUUUUGAAGUGGACAGUCUCUCUCAGGCCAGUCCUGCUACUGUCAGCCGAU
rnacentral:lncRNA from 1 species